rnacentral:rRNA from 1 species
CCAAUAGCGUAUAUUAAAGUUGUUGCAGUUAAAAAGCUCGUAGUUGAAUUUCGGGAUCGACGGGUCGGUCGCGCCUCUGGUGUGUACUGGCCCUGUCGGUUUCUCCCUUCUGAAGAACCGCGAUGUCAUUAAUUUGGUGUCGCGGGAAAUCAGGACUGUUACUUUGAAAAAAUUAGAGUGUUUAAAGCAGGCAUUCGCUUGAAUACAUUAGCAUGGAAUAAUGAAAUAGGACGUUUGAUCUUAUUUUGUUGGUUUCUAAGAUCGACGUAAUGAUUAAUAGGGAUAGUUGGGGGCAUUAGUAUUCAAUUGUCAGAGGUGAAAUUCUUGGAUUUAUUGAAGACUAACUACUGCGAAAGCAUUUGCCAAGGAUGUUUUCAUUAAUCAAGAACGAAAGUUAGGGGAUCGAAGACGAUCAGAUACCGUCGUAGUCUUAACCAUAAACUAUGCCGACUAGGGAUCGGAUGAUGUUAAUUUUUUAAUGACUCAUUCGGCGCCUUACG